GAUGAACGCUGGCGGCGUGCCUAAUACAUGCAAGUCGAGCGAACAGACGAUGAGCUUGCUCCUUUGACGUUAGCGGCUGACGGGUGAGUAACACGUGGAUAACCUACCUCUAUUACUGGGGUAACUUCGGAAAACCGGAUCCACUACCGCCUAAUAUGUUGAACCGCAUGAUUCAAUAGUUCAAGACGGUUUUGCUGUCACUUAUAGAUGGAUUCGCGCUGGAUUAGCUAGUUGGUAAGGUAACGGCUUACCAAGGCGACGAUGCGUAGCCGACCUGAGAGGGUGAUCGGCCACACUGGAACUGAGACACGGUCCAGACUCCUACGGGAGGCAGCAGUAGGGAAUCUUGCGCAAUGGGCGAAAGCCUGACGGAGCAACGCCGCGUGAGUGAUGAAGGUCUUCGGAUCGUAAAACUCUGUUAUUAGGGAAGAAAAAAUGUGUAAGUAAAUAUGGCCGUCUUGACGGUACCUAAUCAGAAAGCAACGGCUAACUACGUG
rnacentral:rRNA from 1 species